rnacentral:rRNA from 1 species
AGUUAUUUAUAUAUACUUGAUAAAAAUUAUGUAAUUAUAACCGUACCUAUACCGCAUCAGGUGUCUUUGUAUCAUAACAAAUAUUUUAAAUUAAAGUAAGUAAGGGAAUUCGGCAAAUUAGAUCUGUAACUUUGGGAUAAAGAUUGGCUCUAGCAUGCUAGAACUUUUACUAUGUAAGGAAUCUGACUGUUUAUUAAAAACAUAGCUUUUUGUAUUUACAAGAAGUGAAUUCUGCCCAGUGCAUUUAUUGUUAAAGUUGUGUAAGCGAAUGUAAACGGCGGGAGUAACUAUGACUCUCUUAAGGUAGCCAAAUGCCUCGUCAUUUAAUUGGUGACGCGCAUGAAUGGAGCAACGAGAUUCCUACUGUCCCUACUUACAAUUUUGUGAAACCACGAGACAAGGGAACGGGCUUGUUAUAAAUCAGCGGGGAAAGAAGACCCUGUUGAGCUUGACUUUAGUAUGUUUUAAUAAAUAUUCGGUAUAUUGUAGAGAGGUGGGAGUUUUAUUGUGAAACCACUAGUAUGUUUGAAUAUUUAUUUAUUAGAAUAUAUGGGGAGUUUGGCUGGGGCGGUACAGCUGUUAAAAAGUAACACAGCUGUCCUAAGGUAGAUGAAUGAUGGAUGGUAACCAUCAGUUUAUUAUAAGGGAAUAAAUCUGCUUUACUUUAUGCAUAUGACUGUAUUUAGUAGGGAAACCUUGGCCUAGCGAUCCCAAUUACAUUCAUUAUGUAUUGGGUGAUUGAAAAGUUACCACAGGGAUAACUGGCUUGUAGCAGGCAAGCGAUCAUAGCGACUCUGCUUUUUGAUUCUUCGAUGUCGUCUCUUCUGAUCAUCGUAGUGUAUAUGUUACGAAGUGUUGGAUUGUUCACCCGGUAAUGAGGAACGUGAGAUGGGUUUAGACCGUCGUGAGACAGGUUAGUUUUACCCUACUGUAAGUAUUUUUGAGUGAACUUUGAUAGUACGAGAGGAACUCUAAGUGAUGACCACUGGUAGUGCGAUUAACUAUUAAGUUAUGUUGCUUAGCUACGUCGUUUCGAUUAAGGCUGAAAGCCUCUUAAGCCUGAAGCGUAGCUCAAAGAUACAUUUAGGAGAAUACUACUCUUUU